rnacentral:misc_RNA from 1 species
CGACAAAAGAGUUGCGCAGAAAUUCUUCAACUCUGAUCAGCACGUCCGGAAUAAUAAUAAUUGGCCAACAGUUGAUGGACGACAAAGUCUACGAGGGCGGAAUCGAGCUCUUGAAGAUCGCAACGAACCCGGAUGCAGCCUAUGAAAUUUGUACGGUUUUCGCACCGAAUUGCGAAUCCCAAUAUCAGAGUCAACACGGCGCGGUUAUUUCACGAAGCAUCUUGAACCCCGGGUCUAUCGCUGUACAAGGAGCCGCCAUC